rnacentral:rRNA from 1 species
CCUACGGGAGGCAGCAGUGGGGAAUAUUGCACAAUGGGGGCAACCCUGAUGCAGCAACGCCGCGUGGGUGAAGGAGAGUUUCGGCGUGUAAAGCCCUGUCAGCGGGGAAGAAGAACGACGGUAUAAGACCAAGAAGCACCGGCUAACUACGUGCCAGCAGCAGCGGUAAUACGUAGGGCGCGAGCGUUAUCCGGAAUUACUGGGGGUAAAGGGAGCGUAGACGGGGAGGUAAGCCUGAAGUGAAAGCCCGGGGCCCAACCGCGGAACUGCUUUGGAGACUGUUUGGCUGGAGUAUUGGAGGGGGAAGUGGAAUUCCUGGUGUAGCGGUGAAAUGCGUAGAGAUCAGGAGGAACACCGGUGGCGAAGGCGGCUUACUGGACCAUAACUGACGUUGAGGCGCGAAAGCGUGGGGAGCGAACAGGAUUAGAUACCCUAGUAGUC